AUUGAACGCUGGCGGCAUGCCUUACACAUGCAAGUCGAACGGCAGCACGGGAGCAAUCCUGGUGGCGAGUGGCGAACGGGUGAGUAAAGUAUCGGAACGUGCCCAGUCGUGGGGGAUAACGUAGCGAAAGUUACGCUAAUACCGCAUACGAUCUAUGGAUGAAAGCGGGGGAUCGCAAGACCUCGCGCGAUUGGAGCGGCCGAUAUAAGAUUAGGUAGUUGGUGGGGUAAAGGCUCACCAAGCCGACGAUCUGUAGCUGGUCUGAGAGGACGACCCGCCACACUGGGACUGAGACACGGCCCAGACUCCUACGGGAGGCAGCAGUGGGGAAUUUUGGACAAUGGGCGAAAGCCUGAUCCAGCCAGGCCGCGUGCAGGAUGAAGGCCUUCGGGUUGUAAACUGCUUUUGUACGGAACGAAAAGGUUUGGCCUAAUAAGCUGAGCUCAUGACGGUACCGUAAGAAUAAGCACCGGCUAACUACGUGCCAGCAGCCGCCGUAA
rnacentral:rRNA from 1 species